rnacentral:rRNA from 1 species
UACGAAGGGGGCUAGCGUUGUUCGGAAUUACUGGGCGUAAAGGGCGCGUAGGCGGCUUCGCUAGUCGGGUGUGAAAUGCCUGGGCUUAACCCGGGAACUGCACUCGAUACUUCGAGGCUAGAGUGUGGGAGAGGAUAGUGGAAUUCCCAGUGUAGAGGUGAAAUUCGUAGAUAUUGGGAAGAACACCGGUGGCGAAGGCGGCUAUCUGGACCACAACUGACGCUGAGGCGCGAAAGCGUGGGGAGCAAAC